CCUACGGGAGGCAGCAGUGAGGAAUAUUGGUCAAUGGGCGCGAGCCUGAACCAGCCAAGUCGCGUGAGGGAAGACGGUCCUAUGGAUUGUAAACCGCUGUUGUCGGGGAGCAAAAGACGCCACGCGUGGCGUUCCGAGAGUACCCGAAGAAAAAGCAUCGGCUAACUCCGUGCCAGCAGCCGCGGUAAUACGGAGGAUGCGAGCGUUAUCCGGAUGUCUUGGGGUUAAAGGGUGCGCAGGCGGCAGAGCAAGUCAGCGGUACAAGUGAGAGGCUCAACCUCUUCGAGCCGUUGAAACUGGUUUUCUUGCGUGCGCGAGCAGUAUGCGGACUGCGUGGUGUAGCGGU
rnacentral:rRNA from 1 species